CUGGCAAACAAGGCUUAUUUUUUUAAGUAAUAGAGCUAUAAGACAGCAACAACAACAAUUAUUUUGUAAAAAAACAUCCACAAGUCACUGGUUCAUCUGAAUGUGCAAAUUGAGAAAACAAGGAGUAAAUGAAUGACUGGCUGGCUGGCAUUCAGUCAUGAUAACAUGUCUGCAGCUCAAGUUAUGUGCACAUUUGUGUCAAGAAAGCAUAUAAACUUUGAGAGUUGGUUUAUUUUGCUGCAAGCAUGUGCAUAAUCGAUACCUCCCUCGUUGGAUCAUACGAGUGCGUAUGUGUAGGUAGACCAGUUAUUAAGGCUGGUUUGACUGUCACAAUCAACUAUGUACAAAGUAUGUAAGCGUCAAGACUGAAAGCUUUUCAAAUCCUGGACCAUGAAUAAGGAAAGCAGUACGUGAGAGAAAUUCAAUUAUAAAAAUGAAUUGAGGAUCGACUGUCAAUGUCUCAACAUCAGUUUCUCAAGAUCUUGCGUCUGAACGGUACAAAACCAUUGUGACAGCGGAAUCAAUAAUGCAUCAAGAAAGACCUUUGACUCUAAAAACAUGCCAGAAAUGAUGUUGAGCUGAUUGGAUACGUAGAUUUCGAAGACCGAGGUGACUUAUGCCUUGAAGUUUGUUUUCUGUGUCAGAUAAACCGACACAACAAACAACAGACACUCUUUUUGUGCACAUACGGGUUCCCCUCGCAUCGUCAUAAAAAUCUUGUUUGUUAAGCACCUAGGAAGAUAGCGUUCUUGAAACAAGAAGAAAAUAGAAUACUAAACAAAAUAUCCUUAAAUAUUUGUUUAAUUUGAGAUUUACAAUUUUUCGUGGUCAAGUUAGUUGUAGUUUGUAUCAUUUUACAUGCAAUUCCUUUACAGUGAUAAUUAUAUGCUUGAAAAGAAUUACAUUUUUAUCUAAAGUUAAAUAAAACAAUUAAAUAUUCAUAUUUACAGAUAUA